CCUACGGGUGACAGCAGUGAGGAAUAUUGGUCAAUGGUCGGGAGACUGAACCAGCCAAGCCGCGUGAGGGAUGAAGGUACAGAGUAUCGUAAACCUCUUUUGUCAGGGAACAAAGGCGGGGACGUGUCCCCGGAUGAGUGUACCUGAAGAAAAAGCAUCGGCUAAUUCCGUGCCAGCAGCCGCGGUAAUACGGAGGGCGCGAGCGUUAUCCGGAUUCAUUGGGCUUAAAGGGAGCGUAGGCGGGCGUUCAAGUCAGCUGUAAAAUCGCGCGGCUCAACCGCGCCCCGCAGUUGAAACUGGAAGCCUUGAGUUCACAACAGGCAGGCGGAAUUCGUGGUGUAGCGGUGAAAUGCAUAGAUAUCAAGAGGAAUACUCAUUGCGAAGGCGACCUACUGGAACAUUACUGACGCUCAUGCACGAAAGCGUGGGGAGCAAACAGGAUUAGAUACCCCGGUAGUC
rnacentral:rRNA from 1 species